GGAAAAUCCAUCACUUGAUCACUUUAUAGUAGUCCCUAUCUCUUUGAAUUUUGGAUGAAUUGAGCUUAAUCUUAUAUACUUGAACUUAAUCUGGACUUAAUUUAUCUCACUUAGGGGCUUGAGAAUCAUGUAAUGGAUCAUACAUUCAGAGUUUUGUUCGCAUCAUUUUUACCACUCUUUGCUAACUCUGAAUGGCUAGACUCAUUUUUAGUCUAGUACCGCACCUGUUUCCCCACCCAUUGUUUGAAACCUCAUGCAUUCUUAUAUGAUCAUCAUGAUAUGCAUCCAUGUGCGAAAACUACGGAGUAUACGGACCGACAUAGCUUUCCUUUUGUUAGGAUAGUGAGUUGUAGUUUACUGGUUGUCGAUAUGUGAUGAGAUUGAGCCAUUGUGGUUUAGAGGUUAUAUUCAUGGGUAUAUGCUGCUGUUUGCGAUUGUUCUUGAUGCAGAUUUUUGUGAGACACCGGUUCCACUCCCCCGCUUCUAUAUAUAUAAAAAAAAAAAAAAAAAAAAAAAAAAAAAAAAAAAAAAACCGGAAAUGUCGAGUUAUUAUUGGUUAUAUUGAUAAGCAUCAAGGGUACACUUUGAUUUGAUUGGGGGUAGUGUGUUGGUUGAUUUGAUCCGAGCUUAAGGGAAGCUAUGUACCUCCUAGUUGGUCUGUGUCUCACUGUGAUUUCGCAUAAUGUCAUGCAUCCGUUUAUACUGUUCGAGAACCCGAAACACUUUGAGCCACCAUAUAUUAGCCCUUUUUACCAAGCCCAUAGCGUGUUCGAUAUCCCCUUUGUGAGAAUACACGCCACUGCUAAUGAAUGUUAAAAGGUUAAGUUAUCUGACUCUGAAAGUUCUUUUAGAUCUCGGGACUUAAUUUUGUUGCUACGGUUAUGGCGAAGUACAGUCUAGUACGGUUUGAUGAGUUGUGUGAUAGUGGUUUGCAGGCAAUUGAUAGAACAUGAUCCCGAAGAAAAUGUGAGUUCUCGUGUUUUCAAACCUCUUCUCUUGAUAAGGAUUUCUGCUUUCCUUGAGGACAAGCAAAGAU
rnacentral:lncRNA from 1 species